ensembl:snRNA U6 U6 spliceosomal RNA
CUGCUCCAGUAGCACACAUACUAAAAUUACAAUGACACAGAGGGGAUCAGCAUGGCCCCUACACAGGAUGACAUGCAAAUUUGCAAAAUAUUUCAUAGUUUU